UCCUUCUACUCUACUCUCUGAGAGGAGCUCACCUCUCUUUCUGCACAACUUCCAUGGAGGAGAGUUGCAGGUCUCCAGCUCACACAGCAAGGGAAACCUCCUCCCUACCCAAGCUCUACCAACCUUCAAGCAGGCCUGCCUGGAGCAGACUGCUGAAACCUUCCAAAAGUCAGCGUCUCGAGAGCCUGCCUAAGAACUUCAACACAAGAGCUGCAUCGCACAGCAGAACCACAAACACAGGAGCCACAAACCAGCAAGACGACUUCACUGGACUUCAAACAGCACAUCAACUUGUUUUCCCUUUUCAUGAACUGGGGAGGAACUGUUGUACUGCAAUGUGAUUGGCUCUACAUCAGAUUCCUGUAUUAGUGUGUAUGAAGUGACAAUGAUAGCGCCACCUGGUGGUCGGUGUGAAAAUGAAGUUUAAGCAAUCGUCCCCAAAAUCCUGUCACAUGAUCAGAGCCCUGUCCUGAAGAGAUCUAUGAGUGUGUAUGCAGUGUUAGUGAUAGCGCCACCUACUGAUCAAGUCUGUCGCUCUCUUUUAUACCAGCCAGUUUCUCUCUCUCUCUCUUGGUCUGUAUAUCUCUCUCUUAAAGCAACCAGUCUGUUUCUCUCUCUCUCUCUUUCUCUCUCUCUUUCUUUCUAUUUUAUAAUAGCCAAUCUCUCUCUCUGUCCCGCUCUCUCUCUGUCCCGCUCUCUCUCUGGGUCUCUCUCUCUGGGUCUCUCUCUCUGUCUCUCUCUCUCAAAUUGACACAGUCUGUCUCUCUUCCCCCCCAAAAAAAGCGUCUCUUUUCGAGCCGGCAAAUUCUAGGCACCCAUUCGAAAUUUCUCGGCAGGAGGAAUUUUCUAGUAUCCUUUUAUUAUUGCCAUAAUAAAUGUUUUCUUUAACAAAUGUUGCAUAAUUGUGAAUUUUGCUCACCUCUAACAUAAACAAUGUUUGGUUGAUUGUUUAUCACAGACUUUUUCACCACCUACUGGCCCAGCAAGAUCGUUUGAGUGUUUGUUAUCUGCAGUAGUUUAGACAAGGCCUUUGUCUGUAGUGAUGUGCUAAUUUUAGAGUUCGACUUACAGGCCAGUUUGCCUGAAAGAGGAAAUAGAAAUGCAUUUGUAGACUUGUGGUCAAUCACGUUGCAACAUAAACAAACAAAUAUAAAAAAAUAAAAAUAUUAGAAAUAAAAAAUGUUUUCUCAUAUUCGUCAUAAGACUCUUUAAUUACAUUCAGCAUAGCAGAUAACAUGUCAAGGAAAUGCCAUUACAAUCAAAGUAGCCUAUUAAUACAAACAUAUAAAAUAAUGAAUAUGGUCUGAGGCAGCUUUUAAUUUUGUGUAGUCACAAAGUCUGAAUCACUUGUAAUAACAGAUGUUUGCUCAGGUGUUGUUUUGGGUGUAAAGCUGACAACAUCAUAGGGGCUUUGCUCUUCUUCUUGGGGCUGAUGUGUCUGGAUCUUUGAGUAGAGAGCAUCUCUGUUGUUGGGGUGUUGAACCCUGCUAUAGUGACUAUUUUCCUCAUCUAUUGGUUGAGCUGAGAUGUCAUCGUAAACAUGAUCUGGGCUUAUCUGAUGAAGAGACAAGAGAAACAUUUUUAUUUACUAAUUCUGUGUUUUUAAAAUUCUCUAGAUGAAAUUAACAUAUUCCUAAUGGAGGUCAAAUGAAUGGAAGGGUAAAUUAAAAACUGAAUUGUACUCGGAAAAUAAAACAUGAUUUAUGUACAGUAUUGUAAAAUAUAACAUUCCUGGAACAUAUGGGACAAUGCAUCUCUGUUUCAUUAGAACAAUGGUUGAAGCUGCUGUUUGGACUCAGUUGAACUCUCUGAAGAGAUGAGGACGUUUGUCUAAUGGAAGAAACUGUUAAAAUUCUCUGCUUUACCUCCUCCAAGUUGACAGAGGUUUCAGUUCUAGGAGACUGGAUGGAAGUCUUCUUUCUUCUAGAGAGUGAAAUGAAUAGGUGAAGCCAGGUUAGUGUGAAAGAGAAUGUGAAAGUCAUUGUUUUGAAGCAGAGCACAGUGAUGCUCACCUGAUCCACAAGAAGACGAUGAUGGGUAUUACAACCAGGAGAAGAGCAACAUAUCCUAUGGCUGCUUGAGUCCUUUUUCUUCUUCUGUGGACAGUGAGCAUCUUUUGAUGAGAGCUCUUUUGGAGCAUUUUAACUUUGCAGGAGUAGUUUCCUUCAUGUUCACUGCUGACGGGGUCUAGAACCAGGUACUUGCUU